rnacentral:rRNA from 1 species
UACGGGGGGGUGCGAGCGUUGUCCGGAAUCACUGGGCGUAAAGGGCGCGUAGGUGGCGUCGUAAGUCUGUGGUGAAAGCCCGGAGCUCAACUCCGGGUCUGCCGCGGAUACUGCGAGGCUUGAGUGCUGUAGAGGGGGGUAGAAUGCCGGGUGUAGCGGUGGAAUGCGUAGAUAUCGGGAGGAACACCAAUGGCGAAGGCAGCUUGCUGGGACGGUACUGACGCUGAGGCGCGAAAGCGUGGGGAGCAAACAGG